AAGCUGCGAGAAAAUAUCGAGGCCACACUGGAUGACAGCCAAUGCGGCUUUAGGCCAGGGCGAGGUACAACCGAUCUCAUAUUCACGGUGAGACAGUUAUCA
rnacentral:lncRNA from 1 species